GACGAACGCUGGCGGCGUGCUUAACACAUGCAAGUCGAACGAGAGCGUAGAGAAAGCUUGCUUUUUCUACAAUCUAGUGGCAAACGGGUGAGUAACGCGUAGACAACCUGCCCUACGGAUGGGGACAACAGCUGGAAACGGCUGCUAAUACCGAAUACGUUCCGAAAGUCGCAUGACUAUCGGAAGAAAGGAUGGCCUCUAUUUAUAACCUAUCGCCGGAGGAGGGGUUUGCGUCUGAUUAGCUAGUUGGGGGGGUAACGGGCCACCAAUGCGACGAGCCGUAGCCGGUCUGAGAGGAUGCGCGGCCACACUGGUCUUGGGACACGGUCCACACUCCUACGGGAGGCAGCCGUUGCGAACCCUCCGCAAUGGGCGCAAGCCUGACGGAGCAACGCCGCGUGAGUGAAGACGGCCUUCGGGUUGCAAGGCUCUGCUAUACGGGACGAAUAAUCUUGUGGUUAAUCCCCAUGAGUAGUGACGGUACCGUAAGAGAAAGCCACGGCUAACUACGUG
rnacentral:rRNA from 1 species